rnacentral:rRNA from 1 species
GACGAACGCUGGCGGCGUGCUUAACACAUGCAAGUCGAACGGAAAGGCUCCAGCUUGCUGGAGUCCUCGAGUGGCGAACGGGUGAGUAACACGUGGGUAAUCUGCCCUGCACUCUGGGAUAAGCCUGGGAAACUGGGUCUAAUACUGGAUAUGACCUUUCUCCUUAUGGGGUUUGGUGGAAAGUUUUUCGGUGUAGGAUGAGCCCGCGGCCUAUCAGCUUGUUGGUGGGGUGAUGGCCUACCAAGGCGACGACGGGUAGCCGGCCUGAGAGGGUGAUCGGCCACAUUGGGACUGAGAUACGGCCCAGACUCCUACGGGAGGCAGCAGUGGGGAAUAUUGCACAAUGGGCGGAAGCCUGAUGCAGCGACGCCGCGUGAGGGAUGACGGCCUUCGGGUUGUAAACCUCCUUCAGCAGGGACGAAGCGUAAGUGACGGUACCUGCAGAAGAAGCACCGGCUAACUAUGUG